GUUCUUGGCAUCCCACAUUUGUUGUGUUAGCUCUGGGACUGUUAGUGCUCGGUACUGCUGUGAUCCUCGAGAGGUCAGGGGUGCAAAUCCUACCAUGAAGAAAUGAAGUCUUGGGAAUGGGAUUAAGUUCACUGCUAGCUUCCUCAGGUCUGAAUUUAGCUGGCCCGGAAAGCGCAAGCAGCAAGUUACUCCACUCAUUGUUGCUGAUAUCAAAUGAUU
rnacentral:misc_RNA from 1 species